rnacentral:rRNA from 1 species
GGCGCCCGCCGGAGGACCAACCAAAACUCUUAUUGUAUACCCCCUCGCGGGUUUUUUUAUAAUCUGAGCCUUCUCGGCGCCUCUCGUAGGCGUUUCGAAAAUGAAUCAAAACUUUCAACAACGGAUCUCUUGGUUCUGGCAUCGAUGAAGAACGCAGCGAAAUGCGAUAAGUAAUGUGAAUUGCAGAAUUCAGUGAAUCAUCGAAUCUUUGAACGCACAUUGCGCCCGCCAGUAUUCUGGCGGGCAUGCCUGUCCGAGCGUCAUUUCAACCCUCGAACCCCUCCGGGGGGUCGGCGUUGGGGAUCGGCCCUCCCUUARCGGGUGGCCGUCUCCGAAAUACAGUGGCGGUCUCGCCGCAGCCUCUCCUGCGCAGUAKUUUGCACACUCGCAUCGGGAGCGC